CGCAGACAUGUGAAUGUUAUUCCCGGGAGGUCACGCCUGCACAAUGGCCUACGGGUUCAAUUGCCGCGGUAACCUGCCCGUGCAAAGGUAGCGUAAUCAAUAGCCUAUUAAUUGUUGGCCUGUAUGAAUGGUACGACGCUGGUGGCGCUGUCUCGAUUACACUAAUUUGAAUUUAACUUCUGGGUGAAAAGGCCCAGAUACAUCUGAAAGACGAUUAGACCCUGUCGAACUUUAGGUAGCUUAUCCACCAACUUGCCUAAUAAAGGCAGUGAUUGUUUUGUUAUUAAACCUUUGGUUGGGGUGACCGGGGACUAAAAAAACGCCCCCCCUCCAUCGAAAGUUAACACCCACUUUGAUAAGGGUAAUAGUGACUUUACCCCCAGGGCAAUUGGCCUUCAGGAAAGUAAUCGCUUGAUUAAUUAAAAAGGUCUGACAAGACAUAGUUUACUUAUAAAAUGAACCUAAAGAACUGUGUUUCAGUUAACUGUUAAAAGGGAAGAGUUACCGCAGGGAUAACAGCGUAAUCUUCCCGGCGAGACCACAUUAAGGGGAGGGUUUGCGACCUCGAUGUUGGCUUAGGGCUUCCUAGAAGUGCAGGGGCUUCUAAGG
rnacentral:rRNA from 1 species